rnacentral:rRNA from 1 species
AGGGUUUGAUCCUGGCUCAGAACGUACGCUGGCGGCACGCCUAAUACAUGCAAGUCGAACGAAGUAGCAAUACUUAGUGGCAGACGGGUGAGUAACAUGUGGGUAUCUUCCCUUUGGUGAGGAAUAACACGAGGAAACUUGUGCUAAUACCUCAUAAGUCUUUACAGAGAAAGCUUUAUGCGCCAUUGGAUGAGCCUGCACUUGAUUAGUUUGUUGGUGGGGUAAUGGCCUACCAAGACAAUGAUCAAUAGCUGAUUUGAGAGGAUGAUCAGCCACAUUGGGACUGAGACACGGCCCAAACUCCUACGGGAGGCAGCAGUAGGGAAUCUUGCACAAUGGAGGAAACUCUGAUGCAGCGAUGCCGCGUGAGUGAAGAAGGCCUUUGGGUUGUAAAGCUCUUUCGUCGGGGAAGAAAAUGACUGUACCCGAAUAAGAAGGUCCGGCUAACUUCGUGCCAGCAGCCGCGGUAAUACGAAGGGACCUAGCGUAGUUCGGAAUUACUGGGCUUAAAGAGUUCGUAGGUGGUUAAAAAAGUUGAUGGUGAAAUCCCAGAGCUUAACUCUGGAACUGCCAUCAAAACUUUUUAGCUAGAGUAUGAUAGAGGAAAGCAGAAUUUCUAGUGUAGAGGUGAAAUUCGUAGAUAUUAGAAAGAAUACCAAUUGCGAAGGCAGCUUUCUGGA